rnacentral:lncRNA from 1 species
UUGACUUGGUUCUCAUUCUGUUGUGGUGCUGAAUAUGACAAUCUGUUGAGCAUUAAUAAGUGUUCUUUGAGAAAACCUUGCAUUUAAUUCAUAAUUUAAAAGAAAAAUAAUCACCAUGUUGGAAGAGUAACCAUUUAUUACUUUUGAUACUAUAUCAGUAGCCUGAGAAAACACACUUGAGCAUUGGUAGUUUUAAAAUACAUAAGCAUUCUUGAGCCAAAGAUCUAUUGGAAGCAACCUCUCUACCCCAUUGAGGUAAGGUACAGUUUGCGUACACACUACCCUCCCUAGACCCCACUUGUGGGACUAUAGUGGGUCAUUAUUGUUGUUGUUGUUGAUGAUUCUGCCCGAUAGAGAAUGUGAAAAUUUCAUAAAACGCUUGAAGUACAUAGUUUCAAAUACCUUGGGAGGAUCUUUUGUUAUCACAUUUUGACUGAAUGGAAUUUAAGAUCAUAGUAAUCCUAGAACAGUUGAAAUAAGUGACGUUCAAAUAUUAAAACUGAUUCUUGUAUUUCCAGCUGCAGAGACUUUCUUGUAUUUCCUGCUGCAGAGACUUGUGGAAGAGUAAAUUCAGAUUAUCUUUUUGUGGCUCAUCCAAAAAAAAAAUAAAAAAAAUUAGAUGAGCAAUAAAGAUGAAUGUUGAAUAUCAUUCAUAACAUCUCCCAAGAGGAUCAUAAUAUGCAACGAAUCUAGCCUAUGCUUUCUAUGCUUAUAAUCUUUGCAAAUGUGUGUGUUCUGUCCGGGUUUCUUUAGAACAAGAAAAGCAGAACUGUGAUGACUGGAAGAGGAAGUAUACUAAGGCACAAGAAUCUGGGGAAGAAAGUAGCAGGAAGUUAGAAGAAACUGAAAAAAGAGUGCAUCAGCUCCAGGAAUCACCGAAAGGGUAAUCAGCUUGCUCUCACAGUGCCUUAUUUCAGUUAUAUUACGUUCCAGCUUAUAAGAUGAACUCUUUUAUAUUGUAAUAUGCAUUUCUUGUUCAUUUUCUAUGUACAAAUAUUUGCAGAGUUGAAUAAAGUUAAAGAAUGACUAUGCAUACUGAUAUGACUAACUCAUCAUAAAAUUAACGUCACAAAUUUUAUUCAAUAAAUAUUAUAGCAAUGAUGCAUUUAAGAGUUGCUAUCAGAACAUUGUGGCCAAUGAAAUAUUGACCUAUCAACAUGAUGUUAAUUGUGAAAGAAAUGAUAUGAUCAUUCAGGCGAAAACAGUAAAGUAGUAGGUGGAGUAGGCCUAGGAUGUUAUGAAUUAUAUUAGGUGAACAUAAUAUUUCGAUGACGAACAGCUUUACUCUAACAAUUUGGAUGAUGCAUUCAACACCAUCAUGUACAAAGGACUAAUAGAAUAGUCCUUCCACUUUUUUGUCCAAGAACUUUAAGAGUAGUCAGAAGUCAUGUCUAGAUAAUACUUAGAACAACAACAACAACAACAACUAAAUAAAGCUGAAGAUGUGCUUCAAAUUCUAUUUUUCCAUUUCAUUCUUCGAUUCGAACCUCACACUAGACAAAAGUUCAAGGACGUGUACCUGAGUGUAGCAAAAACAAAUCCAGAAAAUUAGGCUAGAGAUUAAGAAGGAACAACAACAACAGUAAAUAAAUAAGGAAGCAACCAACAGAAUCAGCUAAAAACCCCAGCAAUGAAAAUAAUAGUGAAACCAGCUUAUAACCCAAACUUUAAAGAUCCAAAACUCAUUCUAUUUUGACUCAAAUGCAAGAUUUUGUCAUUUCAAUAAUUUAAACUGAGCAAUGAGGAUCAGAAACCAAAAACCGAGCAAAAUUUGAGUAGUUUUUAACAAGGAAAUUCAGGGAUAUUUCAGAAUGCCAGCCGUUUCAGUUUUUAGGAGUUUUUUUAUCUCUUGUCUCUGCCUUGCUAAGGAAGAAAGGAUGCCUUUAUAAGCAAGUCUUUAGGGCAGCAUAAAGAAAUCAGUUUUUACAUUUAAAACCUUUUUGAAUUUUUAUUUUUGCUUGAGUACCCUUAGUUUAAAAAUUAGUUUUUCAUGUAAGUCCUAAAGGCACCUUCCUAGUAGCUUCCUUAAUUAGUUAGGAGAGAUUCCAUAUCUUAAAUUUUCUAGUUUACCCCCUAGGACCAUGUUAUUUACCCCAAGGAACUCAUGGAUCAAUUCGACCCAAUGGUUUAAGCCAGCCUGAUUUUUACACGACUUGACCCAAGUCCGAGUCAGAAAUUUAGAAGAAUUGAGAAGGUAGAAAAUAAAAGGGCAAUUCGGAUUUCAACAAGACUUCUGAACCAAAUGCUCUCAACGGCUCAAAACUAAAGGAAACAAUCAAACAAAACUAACCUAAGGAAUUCAAACAAAACUAAAGAAGCUAAUAACUAACACUAAUCCUAAAUUAAAAGAAACACAUGCAGAGAUAAUUUUGAGAACACAUGAGAAAAAGAAGAGAAUAGAAGAAGAUAGGAGAAGAAAUGAAAAAAAAAGAACACUGAAAGUACCUAUUAAAACUAGGCGAACAAAAGUCUUGAACUAAAAUCUUCAAGGAAUCUUCAAUUUUUGACCGAAAUAGAACUUAAUCGUGUGUUUUCGACUGAAAACAUGCGACUAAAGUAGAUUUCAACCUCAAAUCUUUAAUAAACUCGCCGAUUUGAUUUUUGGAAUUUUAGGGUUCAUAUAUUCAAUUUAAUAUUCGAAGGUAACAAAGUAGAUAUUGGGAGAGGGAUAUUGUGUGGGUUCUAUGGUGUGGAUUUGGAGUGGAUUGGGAGUGGCGCCGCCGCCAGAGGAAGCUAUGGCGGCGCUAGGGUUGAGGUGUGUUCUCUGAAAUGGAAGGGAAAUGAGAGAGGUAAGGUGGAUGGGGAGGGUGGUGGUGGUGGUAGUAGGGCUUCAGAUAGUUAAAUAGUGAAGGGAUCCUUAGUUUACGAUCGUUUGAUUAAACGAGAUCAACGUUCCUGAAAGAAGGAUAUCAAAACGGUGUCGUUUGGAUCUCUGUGUUGGC